UUUGGGUGUGAGUUAGGCCCAUA
rnacentral:siRNA from 1 species